rnacentral:rRNA from 1 species
AGAACGAACGCUGGCGGCGUGCUUAACACAUGCAAGUGGAGCGACGAACCAGGGCUUGCCCUGGGGCAGAGCCGCGAACGGGUGAGUAACACGUGGGUUACCUGCCUCGAUGACCGGGACAACCCGAGGAAACUCGGGCUAAUACCGGAUGUGCCCGCAAGGGGAAAGGAAGCUUCGGCCUCCGCAUCGAGAUGGGCCCGCGGCCCAUUAGCUUGUUGGUGAGGUAACGGCUCACCAAGGCUUCGAUGGGUAGCUGGUCUGAGAGGACGAUCAGCCACACUGGGACUGAGACACGGCCCAGACUCCUACGGGAGGCAGCAGUGGGGAAUCUUGCGCAAUGCGCGAAAGCGUGACGCAGCAACGCCGCGUGGGGGAAGAAGGCUUUCGGGUUGUAAACCCCUUUCAGUUGGGACGAAGCCUCAUCGGUGAAUAGCCGCGUGGGGUGACGGUACCUUCACAAGAAGCACCGGCUAACUACGUGCCAGCAGCCGCGGU